rnacentral:rRNA from 1 species
CCUACGGGAGGCAGCAGUGAGGAAUAUUGGUCAAUGGACGAGAGUCUGAACCAGCCAAGUAGCGUGAAGGAUGACUGCCCUAUGGGUUGUAAACUUCUUUUAUAUGGGAAUAAAAUGUCCCACGUGUGGGAUUUUGUAUGUACCAUAUGAAUAAGGAUCGGCUAACUCCGUGCCAGCAGCCGCGGUAAUACGGAGGAUCCGAGCGUUAUCCGGAUUUAUUGGGUUUAAAGGGAGCGUAGGUGGAUUGUUAAGUCAGUUGUGAAAGUUUGCGGCUCAACCGUAAAAUUGCAGUUGAAACUGGCAGUCUUGAGUACAGUAGAGGUGGGCGGAAUUCGUGGUGUAGCGGUGAAAUGCUUAGAUAUCACGAAGAACUCCGAUUGCGAAGGCAGUUCACUGGACUGCAACUGACACUGAGGCUCGAAAGUGUGGGUAUCAAACAGGAUUAGAUACCCGAGUAGUC